AGUGAACGCUGGCGGUAGGCCUAACACAUGCAAGUCGAACGGCAGCACAGUAAGAGCUUGCUCUUACGGGUGGCGAGUGGCGGACGGGUGAGGAAUACAUCGGAAUCUACUUUUUCGUGGGGGAUAACGUAGGGAAACUUACGCUAAUACCGCAUACGACCUACGGGUGAAAGCAGGGGAUCUUCGGACCUUGCGCGAUUGAAUGAGCCGAUGUCGGAUUAGCUAGUUGGCGGGGUAAAGGCCCACCAAGGCGACGAUCCGUAGCUGGUCUGAGAGGAUGAUCGGCCACACUGGAACUGACACACGGUCUAGACUCUUACGGGGGGCCGCGGAGGGGAAUAUGGGCAAACGGGGGCAAACGUGAACAAGCCAUCCCGGGUGGGUGAAAACGCCCUCCGGGUUGUAAAGCCCUUUUGUUGGGAAAGAAAGCCGGCGGGUUAAUACCCCACUGUUCUGACGGUACCCAACGAAUAAGCACCGCCUAACCUCGG
rnacentral:rRNA from 1 species